rnacentral:rRNA from 1 species
AGCUCCAAGAGCGUAUAUUAAAGUUGUUGCGGUUAAAAAGCUCGUAGUUGGAUCUCUGUCAAGGACAACUGGUCUGCCCCUCUGGGUGAGUACCUGAUUUGGCCUGGGCAUCUCCUUGGAGAGCGCAGCUGCACUUGACUGUGUGGUGUGGUAUCCAGGGCCUUUACUUUGAGGAAAUCAGAGUGCUUCAAGCAGGCUUUGGCCUUGAAUACAUUAGCAUGGAAUAAUACGAUAGGAUCCCAGCUCCCUUCUGUUGGCUUCUAGAGCUGUGAUGAUGAUGAAUAGGGACAGUUGGGGGCAUUCGCAUUUGACUGUCAGAGGUGAAAUUCUUGGAUUUGUUGAAGACGAUCUGUUGCGAAAGCAUUUGCCAAGGAUGUUUUCA